GAAUGGUCUUGUUACGAAGUGAGACUGAUGUUUGCCAUCAUCUGUUAUGAUGGGCACAAUACUGAGGUCUACACGGCCAGAGACAUCGCACAUCACUGGCUCAGAGACGUUCUGCCAGAGAGCAUCUAUUUACACAGAGUGUCUGUGUUUGAAGUAAACAGAUCCAGCACAGAGGAUGGACUUGUAUCACAUGACAACAGGCUGGU